rnacentral:rRNA from 1 species
UACAUAGGGUGCAAGUGUUGUCCGGAAUUAUUGGGCGUAAAGAGCUCGUAGGUGGUCGAUCACGUCGGAUGUGAAAUUCUGAGGCUUAACCUCGGACCUGCAUUCGAUACGGGUUGACUAGAGUGUGGUAGGGGAGACUGGAAUUCCUGGUGUAGCGGUGGAAUGCGCAGAUAUCAGGAGGAACACCGAUGGCGAAGGCAGGUCUCUGGGCCAUUACUGACACUGGGGAGCGAAAGCGUGGGGAGCGAACAGGAUUAGAUACCCUGGUAGUCCACGCCGUAAACGGUGGGCGCUAGUUGUGGGAACCUUCCACGGUUUCUGCGACGCAGCUAACGCAUUAAGCGCCCCGCCUGGGGAGUACGGUCGCAAGACUAAAACUCAAAGAAAUUGACGGGGCCCCGCACAAGCAGCGGAGCAUGCGGCUUAAUUCGACGCAACGCGAAGAACCUUACCAAGGCUUGACAUAUACAGGAAUACGGCAGAGAUGUCGUAGCCGCAAGGUCUGUAUACAGGUGGUGCAUGGUUGUCGUCAGCUCGUGUCGUGAGAUGUUGGGUUAAGUCCCGCAACGAGCGCAACCCUCGUCCUGUGUUACCAGCAUUUAGUUGGGGACUCACAGGAGACUGCCGGGGUCAACUCGGAGGAAGGUGGGGAUGACGUCAAAUCAUCAUGCCCCUUAUGUCUUGGGCUGCACGCAUGCUACAAUGGCUGGUACAAAGGGCUGCGAUACCGCGAGGUGGAGCGAAUCCCAAAAAGCCAGUCUCAGUUCGGAUUGGGGUCUGCAACUCGACCCCAUGAAGUCGGAGUUGCUAGUAAUCGUAGAUCAGCAACGCUACGGUGAAUACGUUCCCGGGGCU